UACGAAGGGGGCUAGCGUUGCUCGGAAUCACUGGGCGUAAAGCGCACGUAGGCGGCUUUUUAAGUCAGGGGUGAAAUCCUGGAGCUCAACUCCAGAACUGCCUUUGAUACUGAGAAGCUUGAGUCCGGGAGAGGGAUGCGGAAUUCCAGGUGUAGCGGUGAAAUGCGUAGAUAUCUGGAGGAACACCGGUGGCGAAGGCGGCAUCCUGGACCAACACUGACGCUGAGGCGCGAAAGCUAGGGGAGCAAACGGG
rnacentral:rRNA from 1 species